CGUGAGACAGUUCGGUCUCUAUCUAUCGUGGGCGCAGGAGUUUUGCGUGGAUCUGGCACUAGUACGAGAGGACCGUGCUGGACAGACCUCCGGUUUACCGGUUGUGCCGCCAGGUGCACCGCCGGGUAUCCGCGUCUGGAUCGGAUAAGCGCUGAAAGCAUCUAAGCGCGAAGCCGGCCGCAAGAUUAGAACUCCCUUGAGGGUCGUCGUAGACUACGACGUAGAUAGGAGGCAGGUGUAAAGACGGUGACGUCAAAGCCGAGCCUUACUAAUUGCCCGAGACUUUCCGCCGU
rnacentral:rRNA from 1 species